GUGCCAGCCGCCGCGGUAAGACGUAGGAGGCAAGCGUUAUCCGGAGUUACUGGGCGUAAAGCGCGUGUAGGCGGGUGGAUAAGUGGUUCGUGAAAUAUCCGGGCUAAACUCGGGUAGGUCGAAUCAGACUGUUCAUCUGGAGGCGGGUAGAGGGGUGCGGAAUUCCGGGUGUAGCGGUGAAAUGUGUAGAUAUCCGGAGGAACACCAGAGGUGCAGACGGCGCCCUGGGCCCGACCUGACGCUGAGACGCGAAAGCUUGGGGAGCGAACGGGAUUAGAAACCCUAGUAGUCC
rnacentral:rRNA from 1 species